CCUACGGGUGGCUGCAGUGAGGAAUAUUGGUCAAUGGACGCAAGUCUGAACCAGCCAUGCCGCGUGCAGGAAGACGGCUCUAUGAGUUGUAAACUGCUUUUGUACGAGGGUAAACGCAGAUACGCGUACCCUUCUGAAAGUACCCUACGAACAAGGAUCGGCUAACGCCGUGCCAGCAGCCGCGGUAAUACGGAGGAUUCAAGCGUUAUCCGGAUUUAUUGGGUUUAAAGGGUGCGUAGGCGGUCGGUUAAGUUAGAGGUGAAAUCCCGGGGCUCAACUUCGGAAUUGCCUCUGAUACUGUUAGGCUAGAGGGUAGUUGCGGUAGGCGGAAUGUGUGGUGUAGCGGUGAAAUGCUUAGAGAUCAUGCAGAACACCGAUUGCGAAGGCAGCUUAC
rnacentral:rRNA from 1 species